rnacentral:rRNA from 1 species
CCUACGGUGGGCUGCAGUGAGGAAUAUUGGUCAAUGGGCGCGAGCCUGAACCAGCCAAGUAGCGUGAAGGAUGACUGCCCUACGGGUUGUAAACUUCUUUUAUAAAGGAAUAAAGUGAGUCACGUGUGCCUCUUUGUAUGUACUUUAUGAAUAAGGAUCGGCUAACUCCGUGCCAGCAGCCUCGGUAAUACGGAGGAUCCGAGCGUUAUCCGGAUUUAUUGGGUUUAAAGGGAGCGUAGAUGGGUUGUUAAGUCAGGUGUGAAAGUUUGCGGCUCAACCGUAAAAUUGCAAUUGAUACUGGCAGCCUUGAGUACAGUUGAGGUAGGCGGAAUUCGUGGUGUAGCAGUGAAAUGCUUAGAUAUCACGAAGAACUCCGAUUGCGAAGGCAGCCUACUAAACUGCCACUGACAUUGAUGCUCGAAAGUGUGGGUAUCAAACAGGAUUAGAUACCCCGGUAGUC